rnacentral:lncRNA from 1 species
UCAUCUUUGGCUUCAUAUUUCCUUGUAAGACUUGGAUUCAGACUCCUUUUCUUGAUAUGGAAUGGGAAAACCUUGAGAUAUCUCUUGUAGAAUUAGGAAUAUAUGUACUCCUUGAAUCCUUAUCUGCUAUAUUGUCCUUAAAGCUUUAGGGUUGACGAUCUUGUGCAACGAAACUUGAGUUCUUCACAAAAGCUUGUAAUUCCAAGCAGAUUUGCUGAUCUGACCUUUCUUCAUUCAAACGAUCAUAACUCAGUCUAGAAGUAUCGAAAUCGAGAUCCGUAAAAUUCUAUAGAAAAUAGACAUCUGUAGCUUUCCAAUGAUAUAAGGCUCAUAAUCUGAUUCGAUCUCAGUAAUUCGGCGAAGUUGGAUGUUCUGCCCAGGCAGAUUUUAGGACUUGGGAUUGUAGUCGUCUUUCAAUCCUUAUUUGCGCAUUUUAUCUCUUUUUCUUCUCUCUAUGACACAAACCUUCAAGAACACUAAAAUAACAUAAAUAAGUCAUAAAGAAGAUAACUAAAUACAAAUCUCAAGCAUAAAAGGCUUAGAAAUAUAGGAUAAUAUGAGCAUAUCAAAAAUUGGCCGGAAAGUUAUAAUCCACCCACCGUAACUCUACGUCGUGAGUCGAGCUUCAAGACCAUCAUAAGUCGAACCAGGGCGCCCAACACUUCCUAUCCCUACCGGUUUUAAGCCUCGUCGCCACCGCCGGAGGUAGGAAUCCCGACCGGUCCUCCACCCGAAACUUCUAGGCUUCGAUUCGCACGAACCAUCAUGAAUCGGAGCAAGCCACCACCACAAGUAAGGAUGCGCCACCGAGAUGAAGCGUCUCCAACCGGUGCCGUCGGUCGGAGUUGGCUGAAAAAACCGGGUCCGGGUCGGGUCAGCUGGAGAAUUUGGAUUCUCUCGGGGUCAGGAAGAGAGAAGGAGAGGGGAAGAAAUGUGAUUUUGAAAAAAUGAGGACCCAAAACAAAAUUUUCCUAUUUAACCUAAAUAUUCCUGAAAAGUCACAACUUCCGCUGACCAUAACUUUCUCAUACGAAGUCUGUUUUAUGCGUGUCGCGUGUCUACGAACUUGUAUCGUCGUGCUCUACAACUUUCGUGAAGGAAGUUUCUCGAGAAACCCAACGAAUAAAAAGUCAACUCUAAGGCUGCUAAGGGGUCGCCUUCACUCGCUAUAGGUCUGCCUUGGCCCGCUUUGGGCUGCCUUAACUCGCCUUGGGCUGCCUUGACUCGGCUAAGGCCACAAAGGUGCCGCCUUCACCUAGCUAAGGCCGCAAGGUGUCGCAUUGACCCGCUAAGGGUCUGCCUUGACCUGCUUUGGGCUGUCUUGACCCUUCUUGGCCACCCCUUGCGCUGCCUUGACACGUCUAGGGCCACCUUGACCUGUUAUGGGCUGCCUUGACCUGUCUACGGCCGAUUUGGGCCGUCUUGACCCAUCUAGGGGCACCUUGACCCGCCUUAACCUGCCUUGGCCCGCCUGGACCCGCCUUGGGCUGCCUUGACCCGCCUAGACCCUCCUAGGGCCGCUAAGAGGCCGCCUUAGCCCAUCUAGGUCCACUAAGAGGCCGCCUUAACCCAUCUAGGGCGGCCAAGGGGCCGCGUUCACCUGUUUAAGACCGCCAAAGGGCCACCUUGGGCUGCCUUGACCCAUUUUAGGCCGCCUUGGGCUGUCUUUAUCUAGGGCCUCUAAGAGAUCGUCUUAACCCAUUUAGGUCCACUAAGAGGCCACCUUAACCCAUCUAUGGACGCCAAGGGCCGCGUUCACCCGUCGAAGGCCGCCAAGGGGGCCGCGUUUACCCAUUUUGACUUGCCAGGAGCUGCUUUGACCUUCCUAGACCCACCCAAGGCCGCCUUGCCCCUUCUAGGCCCUCCUAGGCCCGCCUAAACCACCAAGGGGCCGACUUGACCCUCCAAGGCCCUCCUAGGCCCGCUUACGGCCACUAAGGGGCCGCCUUUACCUGUUUUGGGCUACCUUGACCCGCCUUGACUCGUCUUGUGCCGCCUUAACCUGCCUUGGGCCCCCUUGACCCGUCUNNNNNNNNNNNNNNNNNNNNGCCUAGACCAUCCUUGGGCCGCUAAGAGGCCGCCUUAGCCCAUCUAGGUCCACUAAGAGGACGCCUUAACCCAUCUAGAGCGGCCAAGGGGCCGCGUUCACCCGUUUAAGCCUGCCAAGGGGCCACCUUGACCCGCCUUGGCCCACCUUGACCCCCUUAGGCCGCCUUGAUCCGCUUUGGGCCGCCUUGACCCGCCUUGGCCAACCUUGACCCGCCUUAGGCCUCCUUGACCCUCCUAGGGCCUCUUAAACCGCCUUAACUCUCCUAGGGUCUCCAAGAGGCCGCCUUAACCGAUCUAGGGCUACCAUGAGGCCGCCUUCACCCAUUUAGGACCACUAGGUUCCCGCCUUGACCCGUCUAAGGCUGCUAAGGGGGUCGCCUUCACUCGCUAUAGAUCUACCUUGGCCCGCUUUGGGCUGCCUUGACUCGGCUAAGGCCACAAAGGUGCCGCCUUCACCUAGCUAAGUCCGCAAGGUGUCGCCUUGACCCGAUAAGGGUCUGCCUUGACCGGCUUUGGGUUGCCUUGGUCACCCCUUACGCUACCUUGACAAGUCUAGGGCCACAUUGACCUGUUAUGGGUUGCCUUGACCCGUCUACGGCCGAUUUGGGCCGUCUUGACCCAUCUGGGGCACUUUGACCUGCCUGGACCCGCCUAGACCCUCCUAGGGCCGUUAAGAGGCCGCCUUAGCCCAUCUAGUUCUACUAAGAGGCCGCCUUAGCCCAUCUAGGUCUACUAAGAGGCCGCCUUAACCCAUCUAGGGCGGCCAAAGGGCCGCGUUCACCUGUUUAAGCCCGCCAAAAGGCCACCUUGGCCCAACUUGGGCUGCCUUGACCCAUCUUAGGCUGCCUUGGGUCGUCUUUAUCUAGGGCCGCUAAGAGAUCGCCUUAACCCAUCUAGGUCCACUAAGAGGCCACCUUAACCCAUCUAUGGACGUCAAGGGCCGCGUUCACCCGUCGAAGGCCGCCAAGGGCCGCGUUCACCCAUUUUGACUUGACAGGAGCUGCCUUGACCUUCCUAGGCCCGCCCAAGGCCGCCUUGCCCAUUCUAGGCCCUCCUAGGCCUGCCUAAACCACCAAGGGGCCGACUUGACCCUUCAAGGCCCUCCUAGGCCCGCCUACGGCAACUAAGGGGCCGCCUUUGCCUGCUUUGGGCUGCCUUGACCCGCCUUGGGCCGCCUUUACCAGUCUACGGCCGCCUUGGGCUGCCUUGACUCGUCUAGUGCAGCCUUAACCUGCCUUUACCCACCUUGGGCCGCCUAGACCCUCCAAGGGCCACUAAGAGGCCGCCUUAGCCCAUCUAGGUCCACUAAGAGGCCGCCUUAACACAUCUAGGGCGGCUAAGGGGCCGCGUUCACCCGUUUAAACCCACUAAGGGGCCACCUUAACCCGCCUUGGCCCACUUUGGGCCGCCAUGACCCGCCUUGACCCGUCUUGACCCGUCUUAGGCCGUCUUGACCCUCCUAAGGCCUCUUGAACCGCCUUAACUCUCCUAGGGCCGUCAGGAGGCCGCCUUAACCGAUCUAGGGCUACCAUGAGGCCGCCUUCACCCAUGUAGAACCACUAGGUGCCCGCCUUGACCCGUCUAAGGCUGCUAAGGGGUCGCCUUCACUUGCUGUAGGUCUGCCCUUGCCCGCUUUGGGCUGUCUUGACUCGGCUAAGGCCACAAAGGUGCCGCCUUCACCUGGCUAAGGCCGCAAGGUGCCUCCUUGACCCGCUAAGGGUCUGCCUUGACCCGCUUUGGGCUGCCUUGACCCUCCUUGGCCACCCCUUACGCUGCCUUGACACAUCUAGGGCCACCUUGACCUGUUAUGGGCUGCCUUGACCCGUCUACGGCCGAUUUGGGCCGUCUUGACCCAUCUAGGGGCGCCUUGACCCGUCUUAACCUGCCUUGGCCCGCCUGGACCCGCCAUGGGCUGCCUUGACCCGCCUAGACCCUCCUAGGGCCGCUAAGAGGCCAUCUUAGCCCAUCUAGGUCCACUAAGAGGCCGCCUUAACCCAUCUAGGGCGGCCAAGGGGUCGCAUUCACCUGUUUAAGCCUGCCAAAGGGCCACCUUGGCCCGACUUGGGCUGCCUUGACCCAUCUUAGGCCGCCUUGGGCCGCCUUUAUCUAGGGCCGCUAAGAGAUCGCCUUAACCUAUCUAGGUCCACUAAGAGGCCACCUUAACCCAUCUAUAGACGCCAAGGGCCGCGUUCACCCAUUUUGACUUGCCAGGAGCUGCCUUGACCUUCCUAGACCCGCCCAAGGCCGCCUUGCCCCUCCUAGGCUCUCCUAGGACUGCCUAAACCACCAAGAGGCCUACUUGACCCUCCAAGGCCCUCCUAGGCCCGCCUACGGCCACUAAGGGGCCGCCUUUGCUUGCUUUGGGCUGCCUUGACCCACCUUGGGCCACCUUUACCCGUCUACGGCCACCUUGGGCUGCCUUGACUCGUCUAGUGCAGCCUUAACCUGCCUUUACCCACCUUGGGCUGCCUAGACCCUCCAAGGGCCACUAAGAGGCCGCCUUAGCCCAUCUAGGUCCACUAAGAGGCCGCCUUAACCCGCCUUGGCCCACCUUGGGCUGCCUUGACCCGCCAUGGGCCGCCUUGACCCAUCUUGACCCGCCUUAGGCCGCCUUGACCCUCCUAAGGCCUCUUGAACCGCCUUAACUCUCCUAGGGCCGCCAAGAGGCCGCCUUAACCGAUCUAGGGCUACCAUGAGGCCGCCUUCACCCAUUUAGGACCACUAGGUGCCCGCCUUGACCCGUCUAAGGCUGCUAAGGGGGUCGCCUUCACUCGCUAUAGGUCUGCCUUGGCCCGCUUUGGGCUGCAUUGACCCUCCUUGGCCCCUCUUGCGCAGCCUUGACACGUCUAGGGCCACCUUGACCCGUCUACGGCCACUUUGGGCCGUCUUGACCCGUCUAGGGGCGCCUUAACCCGCCUUUACCUGCUUUGGCCCGCCUUUACCCGCUUUGGGCUUGCUUGACCCGCCUAGACCCUCAUAGGGCUGCUAAGAGGCUGCCUUAGCCCAUCUUGAGCUGCUUUGACCCGCAUUGGGUCUCCUUGACCCGCCUUUACCCUCCUAGGGCCACUAAGAGGCCGCCUUAACCCUUCUAGGGCGGCCAAGGGCCCACGUUCACCCGUUUAAGGCCGCCAAGGGGACACCUUGACCCUCAUAGGCCGCCUUGACCCGUCUAGGGUCGUAUUGACCGCCUAGGGCCUCUUGGGCCGCCUUGACCCUCCUAGGCCCUCCUAGACCUGCCUAGGACCACCUUGACCCGCCUUGGCCUGCUUUGGGCUGACUUAACCCACCAUGGGCUUCCUUGACCCGGCUACGACCGCUUUGGGCCGCCUUUAGUCGCCCUGACCCUCAUAGACCCUCCUUGGGCCGCUAAGAGGCCGCCUUAGCCCAUCCAGGUCCACUACGAGGCCGCCUUAACCCAUCUAGGGAGGCCAAGAGGCCGCGUUCACCCAUUUAAGCCCGCCAAGGGGUCACCUUGAUCCGCCUUGGCCUGGCUUGGGCUGCCUUAACCCGCCUUAACCUGCUUUGGGCUGCCUUUGGCCGACUUGACCCGCUUUGGGCCGCCNNNNNNNNNNNNNNNNNNNNNNNNNNNGGUCACUCAAACGGUCAUUAACUUGGUCACAAAAAUAGCUAUUGAUGAUCUGCGAAAAGUUCUGAAAACUAGACUCUUCUAGCUUUCUGCUGAUAUAAAGUUCAUCUCUUGGAUCGUUGUGAGCUGAUCACAAUUCUCUGUCGAAGUUGACUGACUAUUCCUGGCAGAUUUUCUGAUUUCUUUCCUUGCGCCAUAUGGAUUCCUUUUCCUUCAAGAUUUCUCCUCUUUUGCCUCUUUUGUGCUCCUCGGCUUUAUUUGUGACCUAAAAACACAAACUAAGUUAAAAUCAAUAUUGUUAAAGGAAUUACAUAACUAAAUAGGGUCGGAAAUACAUUAAGAACGUUGCAUAAAAUGCACCUAUCAAGGGGCCACCUUGGCCCGCCUUGACUUGCCUUAGGCCGCCUUGACCCGCCUUGAUUCGCUUUGGGCUGCCUUGGGCCGCUUUGACCCGUCUUGAUCCGGCUUGGGCUGCCUUGACCCGCCUUGGGCUGCCUUGACUCGUCUAGAGCCGCCUUGGCCUGCCUUGGGCCGCCUUUAUCUCGGGCCGCUAAGAGGUUGCCUUAACCCAUCUAGGUCCACUAAGAGGCCAUCUUAACCCAUCUAUGGAUGCCAAGGGACCGCGUUCACCCGUCGAAGGCCGCCUUGACCCUUCAAGGCCCUCCUAGGCCCGCCUACGGCCACUGAGGGGCCGCCUUGACCCUCAUAGGCCCUCCUAGAUCUGCCUUGGGCUACCAAGGGGCCACCUUGACCCUUCUUGGCCUGCUUUGGGCUGCCUUGAUCUGCCUUGACCCGCCAUGGGUUUCCUUGACCCGUCUACGGCCGCUUUGGACCGCCUUGGGCCGCCUUUACCCCCUUUGACCUGCCUUGGGCUGCCUAGACCCUCCUUGGGCCGCUAAAAGGCCGCCUUAGCCCAUUUAGGUCCAUUAAGAGGCCGCCUUAACCCAUCUAGGGCGUCCAAGGGGCCGCGUUCAUACGUUUAAGCCCGCCAAGGGGUCACCUUGACCCACCUUGGGCUGCCUUGACCCGCCUUAGGCCGCCUUGAUCCGCUUUAGGCUGCCUUGGGCCGCCUUGACCCGCCUUGGGUCGCCUUAACCCGUCUUGGGCUGCCUUGGCCCGCCUUGACCGCCUUAACCCUCCUAGGGCUGUCAAGAGGCCACCUUAACCCAUCUAAGGCCACCAAGGGGCCGCGUUCACCUGUCUAAGGCCGCCAAGGGGCGGCCUUGACUCGCCAAGGGGCUGUCUUGACCCUUCUAGACCCACCCAGGGCCGCCAUGACCCUCAUAGGCCCUCCUAGACCUGCCUAGGGCCACCAAAGGGCAGCGUUGACCCGACAUGACCCACCUUGACCUGUUUUGACCGGCCUUUACCCGCCUUGGCUCGCCUUUACCCGCAUCGCCCCGCCAUAACCGCUUUGGGCUGCCUUGACUCGCCUUAGGCCACCUUAACCCUCCUAGGGCCGCUAAGAGGCCACCUUAACCCAUCUAGGGCCACCACGAGGCUGCCUUUACCAAUCUAGAGCCGCCAAGGGGCCACGCUCACCCGUGUAAGGCCGCCAAGGUGGUGUCUUGACCCUCCUAGACCCGCCUAGGGCCACCUUGACCCGCCUUUGCCUGCUUUGGGCUAUCUUGACCCGCCUUGGGCUGCCUUGACCCACCUUGGGCCGCCUUGAUCUGUCUAGGCCCGCCUUGAUCCGCUUUGUUCUGUCUUGACCCGCCUUGGCACGCCUAGGGCCGCCUUGACCCUCCUAGACCUGCCUAGGGCAACCAAAGGGCCACCUUGACCUGCCUUGGCCCGCCUUGGGUGUCUUGACCCGCCUUGACCCGCCUUGACCCACCUUGACCAUCUUUGGCCCGCCUUGACCCUCCUUGGCCUGCCUUGAUCCGCCUUGACCCUCCUUGUCCCACCUUGAUCCGCCUUAACCCGCCUUGAUCCGCCUAGACCCUCUUUGGCCAGCUUUGAUCCGCCUUGACCCUCUUUGGCCCGCCUUGGGCAGUCUUGACACGUCUACGGCCGCCUUGACCUUCCUAGGUCCUCUUGGGCAGCCUUGACCCGUCUAGGGCCGUCGUGACCCGCCUUAGGCUUCCUUGACCCUCCUAGACCUUCCUAGGGCCGGCUUGACUUGCCUAGCGCCCGCUAAGGGACUACCUUGACCCGCUUUGGGCUGCAUUGACCCGCCUUGGCCCCCCUUGCGCCGCCUUGACACGUCUAGAGCCGUCGUGGGCUGCCUUGACCCGCCUUGACCCGCUUUGGGGUGUCUUGACCCGCCUUUACCCGUCUUGGCCCGCCUUUACCCGUCUAGGAAGUUCGCUAAGAGGCCGCGUUCACCCGUCUAAAGCAGCCAAGGGGCUGAGUUCGCCCAUCUUGACCCGCCAAGGGGCUGCCUUGAGCUUUUUAGACCCGCCCAAGGAUGCCUUGACCCUCCUAGGCCCGCAUAGGGCCACCAAGGGCCAAGAGGCCGCCUUGACCCGCCUUAACCCUCCUAAAGCCUCCAAGAGGCCGCCUUAACCCAUCUAGGGCCACUAAGGGACCACGCUAGGGCAACCAAGGGGCCGCCUUGACUCGCUAAGGGGCUGCCUUGACCCUUCUAGACCCUCCUAGGGCCACCUUGACUUGCCUUGGGCUACUAAGCGCCACCUUGACCGGCCUAAGACAAAUAAAGGGCCAUCUUGACCCGCUAAGGGGCUGCCUUCACCCAUCUAAGGCUACCAAGGGGCCGCCUUGACCCUCCUAGACCCACUUAGGGCUGCCUUGACCCUCCUAGGCCCGCCUAGCGCUACCAAGGGGCCGCAUUGACCCGCCUUGGCCUGCUUUGGGCUAUCUUGACCCGUCUUGGCCCACCUUGACACGUCUAGGGCCGCCUUGACCCGUCCAGGCCCACCUUGACCCUCCUUGGCUCACCUUGAUCCGCCCUUAGGCUGCCUUGACCAGCCUUGACCUGUCUUAACCCAUCUAAGGCUGCCAAGGGGCUGUCUUGACGCUCCUAUUCCCGUCCAGAGCCGCCUUGACCCUCCUAGACCUGUCUAGGGCCGCCUUGACCCGCUUUGGCCUGGUUUGGGCUGCCUUGACCCGUUUUGGGCCGCCUUGACUCGUAUAGGGCCGCCCGCCUUGGGCCAUCUUUACCCGCCUAGACCCGCCCUGACCCGUCUAAACCGUCCUAGGGCCGCUAAGAGGCCGCCUUAACCCAUCUAAAUCCACUAAUAUGCCGCCUUAACCCAUCUAGGGUGGCUAAGGGGUCGCGUUCACCCGUUUAAGGCCGCCAAAGGGCCACCUUGACCCGCUUUGGGCUGCCAAGAGGGCAUCUUAACCGAUCUAGGGCCACCAUGAGGUCGCCUUAACCCAUCUAGGGCCACCAAGUGCCCGCCUUGAUCCGUCUAAGACCGCCAAGGAGCCGCUUUGACCCGCUAAAGGUUUGCCUUGACCCGCCUUACCCCCCAUUGGCUUGCCUUGACCCGCCUUGGCACGUAUAGGGCUGCCUUGACCCGUCUAUGGCCGCCUUGACCUUCCUACGGCCUCUUAUGUCACCUUAACAUGUCUAGGGCCGCUGUGACCCGUCUUAGGCUGCCUUGAACCUCCUAGACCCUCCAAGGGCCGUCUUGACCUGCCUAGGGCUGCUAAGCGGCCGCCUUNNNNNNNNNNNNNNNNNNNNCCAUCUUAGGCCGCCUUGACAUGUCUAUGGUCGCCUUGACUCGUCUAGGGCCGCCUUAACUCACCUUGGGCCGCCUUGACCGUCCUAUACCCGCCCAGGGCCGCCAUGACCCUCGUAGGCCCUCUUAGACCAGCCUAGGGCCACCAAAGGGCCGCCUUGGACUGCUUUGGGCUGCCUUGACCCGACUUGACCCAUCUAGGGCCGCCUUGACCCGUCUUGGCCCGCCUUGAUCCGCCUUGGGCUUCCUUGUCCCGCCUUGGGCUGCCUUGACCCUCCUAGGCCCGCCUAGGGCCACAAGGGGCCGCCUUGACCCGCCUUGGGCUGCCGUAACCAGCCUUGGGCCACCUUGACCCGCCUUAGGCUGCCUUGACCCUCCUAGACCUUCCUAGGGCCGCUAAGCAGCCGCCUUGACCCGCCUAGGGCAACCAAAGGUUGCCUUCACCCGCUAAGGGGCUGCCUUCACCCGUCUAAGGCCUCCAAAGGGGCCACCUUCACCCGCCUUGGGCUGCCUUGACCCGUCUUAGGCCGUCUUGACCCGCUUAGGGCAACCAAGGGGCUGCCUUCACCCGCUAAGGGGCUGCCUUCACCCGUCUAAGGCCGCCAAGGGGGCCACCUUCACCCGCCUUGACCCGUCUUAGGCCGCCUUGACCUGCCUUGACCCGCCUUAGGCCGUCUUAACUCGUCUUGUUCCGCCUUGGGCUGCCUUGACCCGCCUUGACCCUCCUAGACCCGCCUAGGGCCACCAAGGGGCUGCCUUGACCCGCUUAGGGCCACCAAGGGGCCACCCCUUGACCCGCCUUACGGCUCGCUUUGGGUGCCUUGACCCGCCUUGACCCAUCUAGGGCAGCCUAGGGUUGCCUUGACCCGUCUUGGGCCGCCUUGACCCUCCUAGGGNNNNNNNNNNNNNNNNNNNNACACAGCAAUAUUAACAUUCAAGCUAGUAAGGUCUAUUCAGACUAGCUUUCUAGAGUUGAGACCAUCCAAAAGAAGCAUGGUGGACCAAAAAUGAGUGCCUUACUUAUCCUCGUAUAACUUUGUAUAAUGUAUGCCAGACGAAGUUAUUACGCGUCUUGGGCCGCCUUGACCCUCCUAGGGCCACCAAGGGGCCGCCUUGACCCGCCUUGGCCUGCCUUAACCCGCCUUGAUCCGUUUUGGGCCGCCUUGACCCGCCUUGAGCCGCAUUUACCCGUCUUGGCCCACCUUGGCCUGUCUUGAUCCGCCUUAGGCUGCCUUGACCCGCCUUGGGCCGCCUUGACCCGUCUAGGGCCGUCUUGACUCGCUUUACGCCGCCUUGACCCAUUUAGGGCCGUCAAAAGGUCGUCAAGGUUGGUAUUAUUCUCUUUGUAAGUAGAAGGUUGUGAAAAGUCAGGUGUUAUUAUUAAUUAACUACCUGACUGACUUUUCAUUUGAUAUAUAUGCUCUUUGUAAGUAGAAGGUUAUGAGUACGACUGUGUUCUUUGAUUAUUUUUUCGAUUUUUUAGUUUAAUCAGUUAUGUUGUGUAAAUACGUUUUUUAGGCUACAUUCAACCGUGUUUAAACUUUAAAGAUAUGUUUAAAGACACAUGGGUUUCUAAUGAACAUAAACUUGCAUGUGUACAAGUGUAUCAAUAGUCGUGCAACUUGAAUAUACCAAAAUGAGUUUCCUUUGUAAAAUAGGCCGAGUUCUUUUUCUUUUCUUUUUUUGGCCAAGUUCUUGAUUAAAGAGGCUUGGGGCUUGAGGCUUACCACAAUGUAUUUUGAACGGAAAAGUUAGUCAUGGGUAUAUUCGCAACCUUCUACUUACAAAGAGCAUAUACAUAUACCCAUGACUGACUUUUACUGACUUCCAUCAAAGGAUUCUAAACUAGUUUUGUAUCAUUUAGAAGCUCAUGAUACAUAUAUAUUGGAGUUGAAAACUACAAGACAAGGCGAAUUUUGUUCCAAUCACUUUUCUAUCAUUGUCAUAACAAUCAAUAACUAGGAUAUAUCGUAAUGUUAUGAGGCUGCGAACAUCCCUCAAAGUAUACACAGAGCUACGCCUAUUCAAUCUGCAGCGUUUUGCAGAGCAUUAUGUAUUUUCAGAAGAAAAUCAACACAGUUAGCUAAGAAAUACCAACUCAGCUGGAUCAAGAUGGAACAUACUUGUCCAGAAAAUGAGGGUCAGGGAGCCAAAUAGCAAACUCAAUUGUUGUGAAGAUGUGAAAAUCUGCUAAAAUUUAUCAAACAGAGUUAGGUGGAUGUCUAUUGUCACGGGCCUUUAGUACGCAGCGGAAUUUUUCUCAACUCUUUCGUUCUUGCAACAAUAUGCGAGGCUCCGUGAUGGCGUCUAGGUUCCUUCUGAACUUCGACCAGUCAAAUCUAUCUCCCCAUACAACACCUUGGUUCUGGUAGGCGAGGGCCUUAUCAAGCCAGGUCUGCGCUCUCGUGUGCACACAUCAACUUUGGUACCUUCUUCUACUAGAUUGCAAUCUUUUCACACAAGUGUCUACGUCCUUUCUCACAAGUGUUGGGAUUCUCUAUUCUCUCAUGCACACAUAGUUUG